AUCGCUUCUCAGCCUUUUGGCUAAGAUCAAGUGUAGUAUCUGAUAUGACAAGUUGCUCUGGGCUCACUGUGUGUAUUUCCUGUGCCAGGCCGGGAGUCAGCCAUUUCUCCAGGAAACCCUGGUUUCAUUUCCUGGGAAGUGGUAGUGAUCAUAGUCUGUUACCACCA
rnacentral:snRNA from 1 species